UACGUAGGGGCCUAGCGUUGUCCGGAUUUAUUGGGCGUAAAGAGCGUGUAGGCGGCCAGAUAGGUCCGUUGUGAAAACUGGAGGCUUAACCUCCAGCGGUCGAUGGAAACCAUUUGGCUAGAGUCCGGAAGAGGAGAGUGGAAUUCCUGGUGUAGCGGUGAAAUGCGCAGAUAUCAGGAAGAACACCCGUGGCGAAGGCGGCUCUCUGGGACGGUACUGACGCUGAGACGCGAAAGCGUGGGGAGCGAACAGG
rnacentral:rRNA from 1 species